rnacentral:rRNA from 1 species
AGUGAACGCUGGCGGCAUGCCUAACACAUGCAAGUCGAACGGCAGCACAGUAAGAGCUUGCUCUUACGGGUGGCGAGUGGCGGACGGGUGAGGAAUACAUCGGACUCUACUUUUUCGUGGGGGAUAACGUAGCGAAACUUAUGCUAAUACCGCAUACGACCUACGGGUGAAAGCAGGGGAUCUUCGGACCUUGCGCGAUUGAAUGAGCCGAUGUAGGAUUAGCUAGUUGGCGGGGUAAAGGCCCACCAAGGCGACGAUCCGUAGCUGGUCUGAGAGGAUGAUCAGCCACACUGGAACUGAGACACGGUCCAGACUCCUACGGGAGGCAGCAGUGGGGAAUAUUGGACAAUGGGCGAAAGCCUGAUCCAGCCAUGCCGCGUGGGUGAAGAAGGCCUUCGGGUUGUAAAGCCCUUUUGUUGGGAAAGAAAAGCAGCAGGUUAAUACCCCGCUGUUAUGACGGUACCCAAAGAAUAAGCACCGGCUAACUACGUG